rnacentral:rRNA from 1 species
CUGGUUCAGGACGAACGCUGGCGGCGUGCCUAAUACAUGCAAGUCGAACGGCUUUUCUAUGGAAGCUUGCUUCCACUGAGAAGAUAGUGGCGAACGGGUGAGUAACACGUGGGUAACCUGCCCAUAAGAGGGGGAUAACAUCCGGAAACGGGUGCUAAUACCGCAUAGUUUUCUUGAUCGCAUGAUUGAGAAAGGAAAGACGGCCUUUGUGCUGUCGCUUAUGGAUGGACCCGCGGCGUAUUAGUUAGUUGGUGAGGUAACGGAACUCACCAAGACGAUGAUACGUAGCCGACCUGAGAGGGUGAUCGGCCACAUUGGGACUGAGACACGGCCCAAACUCCUACGGGAGGCAGCAGUAGGGAAUCUUCCGCAAUGGGCGAAAGUCUGACGGAGCAACGCCGCGUGAGUGAAGAAAGGUUUUCGGAUCGUAAAACUCUGUUGUCAGAGAAGAACAAGUUGGAGAGUAACUGCUCCAGCCUUGACGGUAUCUGACCAGAAAGCCACGGCUAACUACGUGCCAGCCGCUGC